rnacentral:rRNA from 1 species
AGAUUGAACGCUGGCGGCGUGCUUAACACAUGCAAGUCGAGCGGUAGCAGGCGUAGCAAUACGUGCUGACGAGCGGCGAACGGGUGAGUAAUGCUUCGGAAUCUUCCUAGUAGUGGGGCAUAACCUGGGGAAACUCAGGCUAAUUCCGCAUACGACCUACGGGUGAAAGCAGGGGAUCGCAAGACCUUGCGCUAUUAGAUGAGCCGAAGUCGGAUUAGCUAGUUGGUGGGGUAAAGGCCUACCAAGGCGACGAUCCGUAGCUGGUCUGAGAGGACGACCAGCCACACUGGGACUGAGACACGGCCCAGACUCCUACGGGAGGCAGCAGUGGGGAAUAUUGGACAAUGGGGGCAACCCUGAUCCAGCGACGCCGCGUGUGUGAAGAAGGCCUUAGGGUUGUAAAGCUCUUUUGGCGGGACGAUAAUGACGGUACCCGCAGAAUAAGCCCCGGCUAACUUCGUGCCAGCAGCCGC